rnacentral:rRNA from 1 species
AACGAACGCUGGCGGCAUGCCUAACACAUGCGAGUCGAACGAGAUCUUCGGGUCUAGUGGCGCACGGGUGCGUAACGCGUGGGAAUCUGCCCUCUGGUUCGGAAUAACAGUUGGAAACGACUGCUAAUACCGGAUGAUGACGAAAGUCCAAAGAUUUAUCGCCAGAGGAUGAGCCCGCGUAGGAUUAGCUAGUUGGUGUGGUAAAGGCGCACCAAGGCGACGAUCCUUAGCUGGUCUGAGAGGAUGAUCAGCCACACUGGGACUGAGACACGGCCCAGAGUCCUACGGGAGGCAGCAGUGGGGAAUAUUGGACAAUGGGCGAAAGCCUGAUCCAGCAAUGCCGCGUGAGUGAUGAAGGCCUUAGGGUUGUAAAGCUCUUUUCCCCGGGAUGAUAAUGACAGUACCGGGAGAAUAAGCUCCGGCUAACUCCGUGCCAGCCGCCGCAGUAA